UCAUGGCUCAUCAACUCUAUGCAAUCUUAGAUAACCCGCCAAUAUUUAUUGUUAAACAGUACAGCUACCAUUUGGAGUGUUAUUUCUCAAACUUAUUCUCAAGUGGGCAAUAAUACACCGGUAUAUGAGUUGAGAAAUAAGGUUCAUAGUACAAAACAAGGUGAGAUAACUAUUGCUCAAUACUUUACUGAACUAAGUAGUUUAUGGUAGGAAUUGGAUUACUAUUAAGACUUUCAAGCCACAUGUGCCAGUGUCGCAGUUAAGUUUCAGAAGUUGGUUGAGAAAGAGUAGAUCUAUGAUUUUCUUGUUGGGAUGAAUAUGUAAUAUAAUCAAAUUAGGGUCCAAGUGCUUG
rnacentral:misc_RNA from 1 species